UACGAACUGUGCAAACGUUAUUCGGAAUCACUGGGCUUAAAGGGUGCGUAGGCGGCUUAUCAAGUAGGGUGUGAAAGCCCCCGGCUUAACCGGGGAAUUGCGCCCUAAACUGACGAGCUGGAGUGGGACAGGGGUGUGUGGAACUUCCGGUGGAGCGGUGAAAUGUGUUGAUAUCGGAAGGAACGCCGGUGGCGAAAGCGGCGCACUGGAUCUCUUCUGACGCUGAGGCGCGAAAGCCAGGGGAGCAAACGGGG
rnacentral:rRNA from 1 species